UGGCGGACGGGUGAGUAACGCGUGGGGAACCUGCCUUGCACCGGGGGAUAACACUUAGAAAUAGGUGCUAAUACCGCAUAAGCGCACAGAGCCGCAUGGCUCGGUGUGAAAAACUCCGGUGGUGCAAGUUUAUGGACCCGCGUCUGAUUAGCUGGUUGGCGGGGUAACGGCCCACCAAGGCGACGAUCAGUAGCCGGCCUGAGAGGGUGAACGGCCACAUUGGGACUGAGACACGGCCCAAACUCCUACGGGAGGCAGCAG
rnacentral:rRNA from 1 species